rnacentral:rRNA from 1 species
AUACAGAGGGUGCAAGCGUUAAUCGGAAUUACUGGGCGUAAAGCGCGCGUAGGCGGUUUAAUCAGUCGGAUGUGAAAGCCCCGGGCUCAACCUGGGAACUGCAUUCGAUACUGUUAAGCUAGAGUAUGGUAGAGGGAAGUGGAAUUCCAGGUGUAGCGGUGAAAUGCGUAGAUAUCUGGAGGAACAUCAGUGGCGAAGGCGACUUCCUGGACCAAUACUGACGCUGAGGUGCGAAAGCGUGGGGAGCAAACAGGAUUAGAUACCCCGUAGUCC